rnacentral:rRNA from 1 species
AACAAACGCUGGCGGCGUGCCUAAUACAUGCAAGUCGAACGGGGUAGCAAUACCUAGUGGCGCAAGGGUGAGUAACGCGUGGAUAAUCUGCCUUAGAGUUGGGGAUAACUAGUCGAAAGAUUAGCUAAUACCGCAUAAGACCACAAGAGCUGCGGCUCAAGGGGUCCAAGGUUUUUCGCUCUAAGAUGAGUCCGCGUAAGAUUAGCUAGUUGGUGAGGUAAUGGCUCACCAAGGCGACGAUCUUUAACUGGUCUGAGAGGAUGAUCAGUCACACUGGAACUGGGACGCGGUCCAGACUCAUACGGGAGGAAGGAGUAAGGAAUAUUGCACAAUGGAGGAAACUCUGAUGCAGCGACGCCGCGUGAGAGAUGAAGGCCUUCGGGUAGUAAAGCUGUGUCGCAGGGGAAUAACACAAUGAAUGUACCCUGUAAGAAAGGAUCGGCUAACUUCGUG